GUUUGCAUAUGUCAAAAUUAAAUUGAAUUUUUCUUUUUCAGCUGCUCAUAGUAGUAUAUCUAGGUAUAAAGUUUACCGUGCAGUUUAGUUAAUUACAUGUUAUCACAUAAAAAUGAAAAGUACCUGGCUGACAUCCAAGUAAUUACAAGAAACAAUUUGAAUUAGCUGCAAAUUGCACGCUUUGCUCUAAUUUUCAUCAAAAUGGGUCGAAUCCGUUUUACCUUUCUGCCUAUAUAAUCCAUAAUACAUAGGGAAAUUUUGGAAAAUUGCCUUCUAUAACUGGUAAUAGGAAUCUCCGAAGUAGACCGGAAAAUGAAGACGAAUAUAAAACGUGAAUAACUCCUACGUUAAUCUGCCUUUACAUAAAACAAGAAUAGAGAAAAGGCAACCAUGGGUAUUACUUACAUAGCGCUUUACAAACCUAGACAGUUGAAUCUAAUUGCAUUUGCAGCUGAUUCUCUCUAUACUGAUUUCACGGAAGAUGAACACAGCAAAAAAAUUAUGAAACGAAACUUUCUUCAGACUCGAAAUUGUGUUAUAUACAAGUUUCACGGAAUCUCAGGUAAAUAUCCAGUUGGCGGACACUAUCAGAUAUCGCGCAAAAUUGUUACGUCCUGAUUUGAUGAUCAGGUUGAAGAAUAUAAAAUCUGCUUGUCUAAUUAAAAAAAAAACUAGGAAAUUAUUUUGCUUCAUUUAUUAUAAUAUCCUAAAUCCCGUUAAUUUAUUUUUUUCGUUGUAUCCAUAUUGUGAAAUUAAUAUUGAGAAAUGCAUGAGGAACCAAUUGUCAUUGUCGUGGUACAAAAAGAAAAGCGCUUCUUCUUCAAGAUCAAUACU